GGUUGGGGGAGGAGGGAAAGCGGCGAGUAAGAUGGAAGAUGAGGAGGUCGCUGAGAGCUGGGAGGAGGCGGCAGACAGCGGGGAAAUAGACAGACGGUUGGAAAAAAAACUGAAGAUCACACAAAAGGAGAGCAGGAAAUCCAAAUCUCCUCCCAAAGUGCCCAUUGUGAUUCAAGACGAUAGCCUUCCCACGGGGCCCCCUCCACAGAUCCGCAUCCUCAAGAGGCCCACCAGCAACGGUGUGGUCAGCAGCCCCAACUCCACCAGCAGGCCAGCCCUUCCUGUCAAGUCCCUAGCACAGCGGGAGGCAGAGUACGCAGAGGCUCGGAGACGGAUCCUAGGCAGUGCCAGCCCUGAGGAGGAGCAGGAGAAACCCAUCCUCGACAGUCUGCACCUGUCUGGAGUGGGAAAGUCCAUCUCCUUCUGUCUUCUCUAGUACUAGGAGUCAGCAGCUAGCCUCGUGGUUUGGAGGGAAACAGGAGUCAGCCAGGCCAACCAGGAUCUCCCAACCCGAAGACAGCAGGCAGCCCAGUAAUGUGAUCAGACAGCCGUUGGGUCCUGACGGGUCACAAGGCUUCAAACAGCGCAGAUAAAUGCAGGCCAGAAAGGCUGCUGCCGCCGCCGCCACCACCACCACCACCGCCUCCUGGAUUGUCUGCCAUGGGUCGCACUGCUGUGGCAGACGUCUGGACUUGAGCAGAGGGAAUAACCUGACUUACUUGCACUGUGAUCCCCCUUGCUCCGCCCACUGUGACCUUGAACCCCAUGCACUGUGACCUCUGCCUCCCCCCCUUCCCACUGUGAUUGGCAUGUUGACAAGGGCUGUCCCAAGUCAAUAGAAAGGGAAAGGGUGGGGAUUAGGGGAGGAUUAGGGGAACCUACCAAGGACUCAGAGUAGAGGGUCAGACAGUGCCACUUGGCCACUUGGGGUAAAGCCAGUGCCAGCAAUAACAGUUUAUCAUGCUCAUUAAUUUGGGAUUUCAAAACACAAAUGAGAACUCCCCCACCCACCCCAAGUGCAUGUCGCCAUCACUUAAAGUAAGUUCCAUUGAAAAUAUCCUUACUUUUUUUUUUCUUCCUAUUUUUGUUUGUUUAAUACAAAUACCUGAUUUGCAAGAAAAAGUGCAUGGAAGGGGUUUAGCAGUUUAAUGAAUUUUUAAUUGAGAAAGGGUAGUUUAGUAGUCACUUAAAAGAUGUUUCUAGGAAAUUUGCUAGAAACAUUAACCAAUAGGAUUUUGAUGAGCUUAGCUUCUGUAUUCCUACUGCCACCCAGAAGAGAGGCCGGGCUCGGGAGCCCCCCAUAGAUGAGCAUCUGUGCCUAAGUCACCUUCCUCCAGCUAAGUCCCAGCUAAGUCGCAUAGAGAUAGCUCAGAGAGCCUGGGGGAGGGGCUGACCCCACGUUAGUAUUGUGAGAGAUGGGGAAAGUGGUGAGCUUCCCCUUCCCACACCCCUCAGGGUGGGCUGGCCCCCUACCAGCCAGGUUUGCUGCUUCUAGAGGAGGGCACAGAGUGACUCUGGGCUCAGCAAGGCAGUGGUGACACUUGUCCAGUGUUGGCUGUCAGCCCAAGCCCAGGAGAGAGUCUGGCUCCAGAACUCCAGGCCUCUGCCUGGAGAGCUCAGAAGGUAGAGAGGCCUGUCCCUUCCAGCAAGACUGGAUGGAACGCUUAAGGAUCUGUGGCGUGCCACGUCUAUGGACAGUCCUGGCUCAGGGGCUAUACAGGAGCAUAGCCUGGGUGAAAUGAGUGGACGAGAGCAGCUGGGGAAGCAUCGGAAAAGACAAACUGCAUUGCAAAGGCAGAUGGCCAACAGGUUCCUCAGACAGGUUCCUCAGAGGGCUCGGCUGCCCUUCCCUUAGCAGAGCAAGGCUGACAUGAAGGCCAUUUCUGUUCCCGAGCCUGGAGGUUUGCUUUGGCUCUUGGUGGGAGAGGCUUGAGAGGGCGGCUGUGUCCCGCUAGGUGCUCUCUGGCUUUGUAGUCUCUUCCAAUGCACUUCGCCUUAUCCCUCAGCCAGCCUGACAGCCUCCCCUCUCCUGACCAGCACUCAGGUUUGGGAGUGGGUGGUGUGGUGUGGGAUUAGGGCAGCCAUAGCAGCCAAGGUGUUGAGUUUUGCAGGAUCAUACCGCCUUUGGUUCCUCUGGCCUGUGCCCUGUAGCAAUGGCCCACAUCACCUUCCCCUUGGGAAGAGCCCUUCCCCAACACAGCCCUAGACUUGCCUGAAACCAGGGGCCAUCUGUGAGUGAGCUGGAACAGAGCCUCAGCAGGAGGGCUGCUAGCUCAGCGUCUAGGGCCCGCCCACAGGGGCUAGUGGUUUUGGUUGAAGGACAGACUGUCCUUUCUCUGGAGAAGGGUGCAGAACCCUGCUUGCCUGGUCCCUUCUAGUGGAAGCCAAGGGCAGGCAGCGUCUGCACAUGGAGAGCGUGCAAGAGUGGCUCUCCCAUCCCAGUCUGGCCAAAGGAGGCCCCGCCCACAGUGCCCCUGCACCUCCCAAGCCCACCAGCAGUCAUGCAUUUGGCCUUCUAGAUGGAGAGGUGGCCGGGCAAGACUAAAGGAAGGAAGGAAAGAAGGAAAACAGACUGGUGUUGGGGGUGGGGGGCGCGGGAAACGGUUUGGAUUUUGUGUGUGUGUUUGUGGGGUUUAUUUUUGUGUGUGUGUGUUUUCCAUUUUUUGUAGUUGUCUAUAACUCCAUAAGUGCUUUUUUUUUUUCUUUUUUCUUUUUUCUCUCUUUCUGUCUUUGAGUAAGUUGCAGGCUUUGGCUUGGAAAUCCCCAGGGGGAUGAAGGGCAGGACCCUGAGGCUGCUGCCCCUUUGUCUGCCUUCAUGGUACUGUCCCUUCCCCCAGCUCUUCCUGGACCCCAUGAGCCAGGCCUCAGCCCUUCCAGCUAACCGCUUCCCAUGAGCCACUACUCUGAUGUCAGCCUAUAACCAAAGGAGCUGGGGGUCCGGGUCUGGUGACCAGCCCUUCUCAGUCCCCUCAAUCAGGGUGCUCCCCACCUGCAGGCAGGAGGCAACACCCUAUCUGCUGCCAUCAGCCCCUUCCAGAGCCUACCUGUCCCGCCCAGCCCUGUCCUGCCCUGCCAUACCCUGCUCUGCCCCAUCUGGGGGUGCUGUGCUCAGGGAUGGGCCGGCAGGGCUGAUCCAGUCUCCCUGGUAAGCAGAGACUCAAGAAAACCUCUGGGGUCCUGCUUCUGGUCAUAUGACCCAGGGGGCGGGCCCUUGGGCGUCUGUACAGAAGGGACUGGGAGGGAGGGCCGCACCCUGCAGUCUUGCUCUGCUGGUGUAGCAGGCAGCUCCUCACCCUAACCCCCACCGCGGGCUCCUGAGUCGGCAGAUUAAGCAUUUUAUAAAUUGUAUUUUAAAUACAUGUUUUAAACUUGUCA